rnacentral:misc_RNA from 1 species
CCCAUGGAAAUCAAGUUGGGGAUUUGCAUGACUAUUGAUCCAAUCAAUCACUGGGAGCAGUGCAGAGCGGAUAGACCCAUGCCUCACAGUCCUCAACUGAGCAUUUAAACCAGCCACCAAACGAUUCCAGACAGAUGGUGGGACAUGCUGUCCAAGAAGAUUGGUCAGCAAUGAGUCACUAUGAAGACUAUAAGGUGACAUAUAGCUCCCAUCCCCACCAAAAAUUAUGCACAUAGGGAAUCUCUUUUUUAUUAUAGAUACAAUAU